rnacentral:rRNA from 1 species
AGCUUGACACUGAACAUUGAGCCUUGAUGUGUAGGAUAGGUGGGAGGCUUUGAAGUGUGGACGCCAGUCUGCAUGGAGCCGACCUUGAAAUACCACCCUUUAAUGUUUGAUGUUCUAACGUUGGCCCCUGAUCGGGGUUGCGGACAGUGUCUGGUGGGUAGUUUGACUGGGGCGGUCUCCUCCUAAAGAGUAACGGAGGAGCACGAAGGUUGGCUAAUCCUGGUCGGACAUCAGGAGGUUAGUGCAAUGGCAUAAGCCAGC